rnacentral:other from 22 species
CUUUACAUACCACAUAGUUGAUAUAAAAC